rnacentral:rRNA from 1 species
UGGGGAAUAUUGCACAAUGGGGGAAACCCUGAUGCAGCGACGCCGCGUGAACGAAGAAGGUAUUCGUAUCGUAAAGUUCUGUCCUAUGGGAAGAUAAUGACAGUACCAUAGAAGAAAGCUCCGGCUAAAUACGUGCCAGCAGCCGCGGUAAUACGUAUGGAGCGAGCGUUGUCCGGAAUUAUUGGGCGUAAAGGGUACGCAGGCGGUUUAAUAAGUCGAAUGUUAAAGAUCGGGGCUCAACACCGCAAAGCAUUGGAAACUGAUAAACUUGAGUAGUGGAGAGGAAAGUGGAAUUCCUAGUGUAGUGGUGAAAUACGUAGAUAUUAGGAGGAAUACCAGUAGCGAAGGCGACUUUCUGGACACAAACUGACGCUGAGGUACGAAAGCGUGAGGAGCAAACAGG